GCCGCCGCCACUCCCGCGCUCCUAGGUCAGGCCUGGGAACCGCACGCCGCAGCUCCUCCCUUGCGCCCUCUUCUUCGUGGGCGACCGACGGCGCAACUCAUCCUCCGCCUCUGGCUCGUCUUCCUCGUUUUCAGCAGCUAGCCGAGAUGCUUUUCCACCGUCCUGUCCACCCCUUCUGCUCCCCGUCGCCAUGGGUUCUUGAGGUGGUGUGGAAAAGGUUGCAGCGAAGCAGCAGCGCCGUGCGCAGCUCUGAUGGCCAGCACAUCCAACGCUGCUACCGUGCCACCGCCCUCAUCGUCAAGAACAAGUCCAUCUGCAGGCCUAGAUUCGUUGAGACGGAGCUACAGAUGCUAAUAAUGGUGGUGCUAAGAUGAGGAUCCGAGAUUAGUGCCUUCAAAAAAACCAUCUCCACUAACAUGUGUGUGUGUGGGGCCUAGGAAGGAAUAGUACGGUGGGCCGGUGGCGGCUCACUGGAGCGACAAGGUUUCCAUGGCUGCUCCUCCGUAUAAAGUGCGUUGCAGCUUUCAUUAGAAGAGUUGAACAGCGGCAAGGGAUAACAUUAGUAGGUCGGCUUGCUUUGAGAUUAAUAGUGCCGACGGAGAUGUUAUUUGGAAUUGCUUUGUGUGCAAAUAAUUAUGAGACAACCGAACAGAAUGCCCUUGCGCCGCGGGGACUUACUACAGACAAUUGCAAUCUGCAUACCAGAUUGGUUCUAUGUCAGAUGAUCUUUCAGAUGGAUGUUGAGUAAUUUCAUGCAAAUUUGAAAGAUCAUUUAAAGGAGACACAACGUUAUCUACCUACGUGCUCCCUACGAGUGGUGCCCCUUGAAGUAAGACUGGGUUGUCAUGUGCUUCUUCCUUAAGAUUCAGAAUACUGGGAUGUGAUGUACCUUGAAGUUCAGGUUCUAAUAAAUAUUUGCCUUGGUCAAAGCAAAGCAGUUAUGAAGUUGAUACCCAUUUUAUUAGAAUACCCAGCUUCGGUGAAAGGACCGGAAGCUAACCACAAUCUUUUGGGGCGCCUGUUUGGCUUUGGAUCACUUGGAAGGUCUUGGAGGUUUCAAGAUAGUGGACACGGAUCACAUCUUCCGUUGUUAUGAAGGAUUUUGUUGCUGAAGUUAUACAACUUGGUCGUAGAUGGCUCUAUGGUGUUCCGGUCUUGCGAGCUUGUGGUAGGCCGUCGAGGAAACUCAAGCACACUUGCCUCUUCUACUGUACACCUAGGUAUAUGUUCUCUCUGGUACUAUAAUUUUCGUCUCUUAUAAAUUAUAUUACGAACACUAGCUGCACACCAACAUGCAAUGUUUUUCAGCAAUCGAACUUUUAUAUACUCUGCAAUUGUAAGCUUUUUAAUCGAUCUAAAUUUCGCAUGUACACUUGUUCCUUUAGUUAAUUGGUUCUCUCUCCACAAUUGGUGUGUGCUGCUAUGUAUGACUGCAAACCUGACAUAAUUUAGCUUUCUCUUAAUUCUCCAUUCGAUUUACUUCUAUUCUCUGUUAUAUUUCCAAGUCUAUUUAAGCAUGAUCACAGUUACUAAUUUUCUUGUGUUUACCUUUCUCUUACUAUCCCAUUAUAUUUACUUCCAUGGCAUUUCUUUCUAAGAAGCUAUUACUUGCCAAAUUUCAUCUUUGCACUAUUUUAUACUCUGAUAUCGCUGGUAAUUUUGGUUCUUUGACUAAAAAGGGUUUGAUUCAUUUGUGCGACUUUGCUUAGAAUCCGUGUGACCUGCAAAGCACUCAUCCAUGCGACCUGAAAAACUGGCAUGCAUGUUAUUCUGAAUUAUUUGGACCGAUUGGUCUAAAAGGUAACGAGUAACAACACACUGAUCUGAUGUCAACCGAGAUGCAGGUCCUAGAUACUCCGCAGUGCAUGGCAGUUGGCGCCUCCUCCAAUCCCCCCCCCCCCCCUCAUUGGCCCACAUAGCCAUAAAGUAAUAUCGCAACGCCGAGACAUACGAAUAUGCUGACUCGUUGUAGAUUUACUCCAGUGGAUGCUUCAGGCAUUUUUCUAAUCAUAGGUUACAUUUCUUGACCUUUUGGUCCGUGAGAAAGAGAGUAUGGAUGCUCAAACAAUCAACACCGCAUUGAUAGUUCAUUUGCACGUGCACACACUCAAUUCACUGAGGUUAGAUUUCUAAUUCUUUUGGUGUUGAUUACGCAAUAAUGUUGCUUGUGCAUCCCAAUUCAGUAGGGGUCAUCUGCAAAGGCCAUUUUUGUUUCUAGAGGCAUAUGCCAAACCCAUGACUUAAAUAAUUUGAGACCACUAGAUUCGUAAGAUUUUUAAACUGUUCUUCACCAUUGUUCUGUGUCUGAAAUAUGUUGGUGUAGACUAUGAGGGAACCUACUGAACAGUCGUAUCAGUCAUGCAAUUUCAUGUGUGUUGCUUGUUCUCUUUCCUACUGAGAUAGAUGCUAUUGGUGUAUAUACUUAUAUGUGAUGAUGCCAUGAUUGUCUGCCCACUAAUGCUUGGUUAUUUUUUGAGCAUGCGCUUUCUUGCAUAAUUCCGAGUUCAGAAGUAAAGGGGAUUGAAAUUAUAUUUUCUUGUUCCAUUUUAAUUUAGGUGACAUAGAAUUGUGACCAAUUGGUACAUAGACAACGCCAUUUCUGACCUGAAGGGGAAAUGAGAAUAGGAGUUCAGUCUAUAUAUAUCCAACUUGGAUGUCCACUAAAACUAAACCCAUCUGUCAUGUAUAUGAACUGUGAUCCUAUUAACUUUACGUCAGAAAAAUACCAGGUUGCUUAAAAGGGUGGAUUUCACCGAUUUGAAAUUAAGCUUGUUUUUCUUGGUUAUGAGCUAAAAGCUUCUACUGAUAGGCGGCUGAAAAGUAAAUCACUUGACCAUAUCAAUUUGCAUCAAUCAAAAACACUUCUGGUUGCCAAUGCCGUUAGGAUUUGUCUGCAGCUCCUCCUGAUCUUGGCUGGCGGAUCAGAUGGACUUUUGGAUAAAAGGAUACCUUCAGCUCACUUAGUGUAUUUAGUAUUCUUCAAUGUUCUCCUUUGUUUUUACAUAUGCUUUAUGAUUUUGAUGUUGUUUCUUUUGCCGUGAUCUGAAAUAAGUUCUGGUUUAGUUAUCUGUUUUGGUUUUUGUUAGGAUAGGAAAACUACACAGAUGGUCAUGCUCUCAAUCCUUCUUUGUUUAACUUGAUUUUUGUUUCUCAGGUUAAUCAUGUAAUCCUUACAUAGAUAUUUCAGAAGCAUAUCACAGGAUUUCUCCGCUUGAACUGGGAAUGAUAAAUCCCCGCAGCUGUAUUUCUUCUUUGUUCCCAUAUAUCCAGUCAUCCAAGAUUGACCUAUUAGUUAGACUUACGGAGUUUUUGAGUAGGUGCACUAUUUUUUUACAGGGUAAGUGUUGGUUUUCAUUAUUCUGUGGGACUGAAGCAUUUCACAUUUUCACUGUCAAAUUUUGAAAGCAUACCAUCUAUCGGUGAGAUUAUCUUACAACCAUGUGUGUAUAUGUUUUGUUUGCAGAUGUCAACUCCACUAUUUCAUCCUCUGUUCUCUCAUUUAAUUCAGAUAUAUGACUAUUAUAAUCUUUCCCUCUUUCACUGCCACUCCCUUUAUUUUGGAGAGUUGUUAUAAAUAAUCACCAUACUAACUCUCUGUAUGUAGUCCAAAAAUUAUUUAGUUCACAUUCAAACCUAGGGUGGCAUUAAGUGGCUGACGUUUGUCGAUCUACCAACCCAAUAUAUAAAUAUUCUUUUUCUAUUCUUGAUAGAAAUUUCAAUACAAGGUACCUUAAAUGCAGAAAUGUUUUAUUUGAUAUCCCCAUCUCUCACAGAUGCUCCACACAAUAGGUACAUAUCUCUAAACCUAUCUUUCAGAGAUGCCCUAUACAAUAGAUAUAUAUCCUGGAGUCUCUCUUCCAUCAAGAGUAGGGUGUCAAGCAGUGCCCCGCAUAAUCAAAACUAGAGCAAACUUAACCUGUAACUGAUGCAAAAUUAGCAGUGUUAGUGAAGAGAUUUGUCCCAGAUCCCGCCCCGCUUGACACCCUACUGAAGAUUAAUUUCCCAGUUUAUAUGAUCCAGAAUAUGGGUAACAGGGUUUGCGCUACUUGUGUAUACGUAUCGUCUCUUACAUUCCCUACUUUAGCUUUUAUGAACCAUAUCUGGAUGAAGUGGUCUAUCCUUCAAAAUUAAAUGUCAAUAAAACAUCACUAUUUUUCUUCCCGUCCUCAUGUCUUGUAAAAUAGACUGUUGCCAACCUUUUUUUAUCCAUUCAACACGAUAUUGUGCUGCUCUUGACUACCACCUGAAUAUUGUCUUUGUUGUUACUCAACAGCCAGCUGUUAAAUGGAGGUUGUCAAAAUUCUAACCAAUGUCAUGAUCCAGGUCAUGUUCCAUGCUCCAGGACAUGCUGAAGAAACUGCAACUGCCCAAUCAAAUAACAGUCAGAUCACAAGAUAUAUGGUUCUGAGUGAAAGGAAAAUACUGAAAAACUAUAGCCAGAAUGGGCUUGUCAUUGAAGAUUAUGCUACCGCUUCUAUGUACAAUAUAUUUCUCUACAUUUUCUUUACGUCUAUUUAUUACUAAUUACUACUUAUUAUCGGCUUGUAUUGCUUAACUGAUCUGUGUAAUUUUGUGCUGGUCCCAGUAAUUAAGUCAACUACAUUCUCUUU